UUUAUUUCACAUUGUUUACCUUACGUCCACUUUCAUGUCUGGCAUAAUGUUAUCAGUUCGCAUUGGUUUAAAAUUUACUCUAAAAACAGUUAACAAAGUUUACAAAAAAAAGUUCUCCAAUCUCGUCAUAUGUAUCGGAUAUCGGUAGAGGCACAUAAAAUUGAACUCGGUCAUCGGUAGAUAUAAUCAAUCCGAAUUCAAGAGCAAAAAUAUAUUUUAAAAAAAGAAAGAAAUUCACGAUAAUUUCACAACAAAUCUCAAAAGGGAGUAAAUGAUUCAUCUAGAUAAUUAUCAAAUAUACAGUGGGUACUGUCCGUAUAAAACUUAUAAAAUAUACCUUCCGGAAUUUUCCAGCCUCCAUUUAUGUAUUACAUGUACGUUACCAGUGACGUCACUGGAAAGAGAAGUCUGACGUCUGCAAGUUCUAGGGCCUAGCUAAAGAUAUGCAUUCCAGGAUGGUGACUGAAGCUCAUCUUUGUAAACACCUAUAUGCCUAGAAUGGACUCCAAAACAGAUUAUUAAAGUUUAACCAGUAUAAUCUUGAAUAUGGACAAAAAGUAUACACUUGGAACACAAACAAAAACAGAUGAGUCCAUGCCAAGCUAAAGAUUAAUGCAGAAGGUAAGUUCAAUUUUUCAUUUCGUAACUCUUCUGGUUUUAUCCAGAUCGGACCUUACAUAUAAUUAAGUCAGCUUCAGUAUAUAAUAGAAGGAUAUGGAGAUAACGAACAGUAUUCAAUCUCAAAGUCCAUAAAACUAUACAAAA